rnacentral:lncRNA from 1 species
ACUAGUUGUAAAAGUUUCUAUUGUUCUCCAAAUUUCUUCCUUUAUCUCAAGGUUUGUUUGAUAAGACUAUCUAGAUUUUAUCUUGGAAAUGACUCAGAGAAACUAAUCCUGAUUGGAUACAUCUGGCAAAAGAAUGCUUAUCUCCACAUCACUUUUCUGGCCUUGGGGCUCAGAAUAAGAAUAAUACCCUUCUUAUAUAUAGCACCUUUUAAACAAAGACUUAAAACAUCUGAUGGUUCUGCCCCAAGUAUAACUAUUCCAAUUUUUUCUGAUGGUGGAAGAAUAGAGAAGUUAUCUAAACACCAAUUCUACAAUAAGUUAGUGAAGCAAUUCAGGAUUUUCUUUUUCCUAAGCCUCAGUUGGACUCUUGUAUUAAUUGAAAAUGAAGAUAAGGUUAUACCCAGAGGUCACAGGAUGGCAUGGAGAAAAAGCAGCAGGAAUCAACCAAGUCUCAGGGGUUGCUGGUGGAAAACAAGAGAGGUGCAUCCAAAGUUAACUUACAUCAUAUACCAAAGGAAGCUAUAAUUUUGGAAUAUGGGAUCUUAAAGACUUCAUCCUCUAAUCUCCUCAUUUUGUAAAUGAAGAAAAUAAAACUCGAAAACCAGACA